ensembl:snRNA U6 U6 spliceosomal RNA
GUGUUUGCUUUGGCAGUACACAUAAGAAAAUUAGAAAGAUACAGAGAAGACUCGCACUGCCCUUGCACAAGGAUGACACGCAAAUUCACGAAGCGUUCUGUAUUUUC